CGGCGAGUGAGCGGAGAGCUCAAUUUGAAUCUGGUAGCCUUCGGCUGCCCGAGUUGUAAUCUAGAGAAGUGUUUUCCGUGCCGGCCCAUGUACAAGUCCCUUGGAACAGGGCGUCAUAGAGGGUGAGAAUCCCGUCCUUGACAUGGACCCCCGGUGCUUUGUGAUACACUUUCAACGAGUCGAGUUGUUUGGGAAUGCAGCUCAAAAUGGGUGGUGAAUUCCAUCUAAAGCUAAAUAUUGGCGAGAGACCGAUAGCGAACAAGUACCGUGAGGGAAAGAUGAAAAGCACUUUGGAAAGAGAGUUAAACAGUACGUGAAAUUGUUGAAAGGGAAACGAUUGAAGUCAGUCAUGCUCUUUGGAUUCAGCCGUUCUGCGGUGUAUUUCCAUUGAGUGGGGUCAACAUCAGUUUUGACCGCUGGAUAAAGGCACUAGGAAGGUAGCACUCUCGGGUGAACUUAUAGCCUAGCGUCAUAUACAGUGGUUGGGACUGAGGACGCAGCAUGCCUUUAUGGCCGGGAUUCGUCCACGUACAUGCUUAGGAUGUUGACAUAAUGGCUUUAAACGACCCGUCUUGA
rnacentral:rRNA from 1 species